rnacentral:rRNA from 1 species
AGUCGAACGAGAAAUUUAUUUCUAGUGGCGAACGGGUGAGUAACGUAUUUCUAACGUGCCCCGGAGAGAGGAAUAACUAUUGGAAACGAUAGCUAAUACCUCAUAGGAUAUUGGAGGGCAUCCUCUAAUGUUUAAAGGUGCGUUUGCACCACUCCGGGAUCGGGAAAUAUCACGUUAGCUAGUUGGUGGGGUAAUGGCCCACCAAGGCAAUGAUGUGUAGCCGAGCUGAGAGGUUGAUCGGCCACAAUGGGACUGAGACACGGCCCAUACUCCUACGGGAGGCAGCAGUAGGGAAUUUUCCACAAUGGACGAAAGUCUGAUGGAGCAAUGCCGCGUGAGGGAUGACGGUUUUCGGACUGUAAACCUCUGUUGUAAGGGAAGAAUAGCCUGUAUAGGAAAUGAUACAGGUCUGACGUACCUUACCAGAAAGUCACGGCUAACUAUGUGCCGCAGCCGCGGUAAUACAUAGUGGCGAGCG